rnacentral:rRNA from 1 species
GACUUGGCGGUGCCCUAAACCCACCUAGAGGAGCCUGUUCUAUAAUCGAUAAUCCACGAUUCACCCAACCACCCCUUGCCAUGCAGCCUACAUACCGCCGUCGCCAGCCCGCCUCAUGAGAGAACAAUAGCGAGCACAAUAGCCCACCCGCUAACAAGACAGGUCAAGGUAUAGCAUAUGGAGUGGAAGAAAUGGGCUACAUUUUCUAACAUAGAAUACAACGAAAGAGGAUAUGAAA